GUAGGUGGCAAGCGUUGUCCGGAAUUAUUGGGCGUAAAGCGCGCGCAGGUGGUUCUUUAAGUCUGAUGUGAAAGCCCCCGGCUCAACCGGGGAGGGUCAUUGGAAACUGGGGAACUUGAGUGCAGGAGAGGAAAGUGGAAUUCCACGUGUAGCGGUGAAAUGCGUAGAUAUGUGGAGGAACACCAGUGGCGAAGGCGACUUUCUGGCCUGUAACUGACACUGAGGCGCGAAAGCGUGGGGAGCAAACAGGGAUUAGAUACCCUGGUAGUCCACGCCGUAAACGAUGAGUGCUAAGUGUUGGGGGGGUUUCCCGCCCCUCAGUGCUGCAGCUAACGCAUUAAGCACUCCGCCUGCGGAGUACGGUCGCAAGACUG
rnacentral:rRNA from 1 species